GUUACCAUUCUGGUGUGCUCUUAGUUAUGCAUGAGUUUUAUCAAAAUAAACCUAUCCCAAGAUGGUCACAGAUUACGACAGGAGAAAUGGAGAAAUUUUUCUGUCCUCCUGUAGAACCAUGUCAGACUGACACAUGGUCUGACGGCCCAAUAGAAUAAUGCCAUGUGGAUCUUUUUUCCUAGAUUAUGUGAGAAUGGGAGUACAUAAGGAUUUUGACACCCAAGUAAGGAGUAUAUAUGCUGUAGUGGAGUAGUCGGAGGCAUGCCAACAGCAACACCCAAUCACCUCAGGUUCAAUCUUUGCUCGCUGGCUUCAGAUUAUGAAGGGUUUUAUAUCUGCUGUAGAGUAAAAGAAUGUUUUACUGAGCUAUGAGUGGAUAGGUUUUUGUUAUAGCAUAUGUGUCAAAUAACCCUUUCUUCAAUGAAAGGGAAAGUGUAACGUUGCGGCAGAUUGGCUUCCAAUGCUAGCUAAAAUGGGGGUGGAUUUGGGGCUUUGGAUCAAUCAACCUCCACUUUCACUGAUGAAGGUUUUCAAAACUGAUGGUUGCCUGCUCCUCCUUUGUUGGAUUAGAUUCUAGCAUUAGUUAGUUGUUUGUAGUUUUUUCUUUCCUGCUAUUUCUUC
rnacentral:lncRNA from 1 species